rnacentral:rRNA from 1 species
GGGGAAUAUUGGACAAUGGGGGCAACCCUGAUCCAGCAAUGCCGCGUGUGUGAAGAAGGUUUUCGGAUUGUAAAGCACUUUCGGCGGGGACGAUGAUGACGGUACCCGCAGAAGAAGCCCCGGCUAACUUCGUGCCAGCAGCCGCGGUAAUACGAAGGGGGCUAGCGUUGCUCGGAAUGACUGGGCGUAAAGGGCGUGUAGGCGGUUUGUACAGUCAGAUGUGAAAUCCCCGGGCUUAACCUGGGAGCUGCAUUUGAUACGUGCAGACUAGAGUGUGAGAGAGGGUUGUGGAAUUCCCAGUGUAGAGGUGAAAUUCGUAGAUAUUGGGAAGAACACCGGUGGCGAAGGCGGCAACCUGGCUCAUGACUGACGCUGAGGCGCGAAAGCGUGGGGGAGCAAACAGGAUUAGAUACCCUGGU